UACGUAGGCAGCGAGCGUUGUUCGGAGUUACUGGGCGUAAAGGGUGUGUAGGCGGUUGUUUAAGUUUGGUGUGAAAUCUCCCGGCUCAACUGGGAGGGUGCGCCGAAUACUGAAUGACUUGGAGUGCGGGAGAGGAGAGUGGAAUUCCUGGUGUAGCGGUGAAAUGCGCAGAUAUCAGGAGGAACACCAGCGGCGAAGGCGGCGCUCUGGGCCGGUACUGACGCUGAGGCACGAAAGCGUGGGGAGCAAACAGG
rnacentral:rRNA from 1 species